rnacentral:rRNA from 1 species
CCUACGGGUGGCAGCAGUGGGGAAUAUUGGGCAAUGGGCGCAAGCCUGACCCAGCAACGCCGCGUGAAGGAAGAAGGCUUUCGGGGUGGAAAAUUGUUUGGACAGGGAAGAGGAGAAGAGGGGACCGGACGAAUAAGCCACGGCUCACUACGUGCCAGCAGCCGCGGUAAUACGUAGGGGGCAAGCGUUGUCCGGAUUUACUGGGUGGAAAGGGCGUGUAGCAGGGUUGACCAGUCAGCUGUGAAAUCCGGCGGCUUAACCGCAGAAAGGCCUUUGAAACUGUUGAGCUUGAGUACUGGAGAGGCAGCUGGAAUUCCUAGUGUAGCGGUGCAAUGCUUAGCUCUUAUGAGGCACUCCAGUGGCGAAGGCGGUCUGCUGGACUGCAACUGACGGUGAGGCGCGAAAGCGUGGGUAUCAAACAGGAUUAGCUACCCGGGUAGUC